rnacentral:lncRNA from 1 species
GCCGGAAGUUGACUACACACAUGUUAAUUUGACAACUCAACAUCAGAAACUGAAGAUUUCAACAUUUUGCAUUGUUGCUAAUUCUAAUUCGGUACAUGCUGCACGCUGACAAUUUAUUGAAUGAUUCCUUACAUUUAAUUUUUGAAUUAUUAACUAAACCGGGGACAAAUGCAUUAUACUGUUAUAGUACACAACAAUUAUGCAUCAGUAAGAAAAAGGGGGACCUAGGCUAUGUCUGUUAAAUUAGAAUUCAACAGCAACUUUACCACAGAAUAUAGAUAAGAAUUUACAUUUAGUUUUUGAAAGUUUAUAAUGAAGAACAAAUGUAUUGAACUUAAGCAGGUUAGAUAUACUGUUCACAGUUAAAAUAUUACAGCAUACAAAUUCAUGUAUAUUACUUUUUUCAAACACAAACUGCUGCUUUAGAGUCACUUUAUUAUCGUUCUUAUCUUCACUAAACUAGUAUGAUUGCAAUGGUUUGAUAUUGGCUUGAAUUGGUAUAUGUGCUUCAGCUUGUCAUUUGGUCUGUCAAUGAAUAGUGGAUUCAAAUGUUGUCAUAUAUAUUUAUAUCUUUAAUAUUUUUACAAGGUCUUUGUUCUCAGCAUGUACAUUUCUUGUAUUUUGUUCCAAAGAUUAAGCACAAACAUAAGGAGAAGACCAUUAGAUAUUCUUUUGCCAGGAGGUUAAUAGAGUGUCUGACAUCUAUUUAUCGUGGAUCACCAGCCAAGUAGUCAGCUUGCUCAUCGUUACUACGGCAGGGGGUCAGGAUUUUUUUUAAAAAUGGUGCAAAAUCCUGCAUUUUUGGGGUACUCUAUACCCUUAUUCAGACCUCUGAAAACAUCAUUUUUUACUGAAGAUAAUGUAAAUGAUUAACUAAAAUUAGCAACAUGAUGGGUAAAUUUUCUGUACAUUGAUCAUCUUGAUGGACCAAUAUACAUUUCUGUGCAUUUUCCUGUUGGUUGACUGCUAGUAAAUAUUUUUGAACUGAAAGAAUCCAAAGAUCUUAGUUUGAAUAGAAACAUAUUGUCUCUGGUUUGAAUUAUCACUUGAAUUAUUUAGUUUUAAAUGAAAAUUGUAAUUCUGACAUUAUAUUAAAAAAGUGUUGGUUUUGUUUUUUAUACAAAAUUAAAAACAAUAUUUGCUGACUAGUAGUCAUGAAGCUAGAGCUUCGAUUUCAAAGUUAAAACUUUUACAGAGUUGCUAUAUUUUAUAAUAUCGUAUGCUCUCCCCAAAAAGAUUUGAAAAUUUAGACUAAAAAUCCUGCAUUCUGAGCAUACCUGGGAGUGAUUUAGAUGCUUGGGAAAAUGUAAAUUUUGUCUUAUUUUUGUUGUUGACUUCAAUCACAUUUGAAAAAAAAAAAAAAAAAUGGGAAUCCGCAGUCCUGGCAAGGUUAAUCUAUAUUGAUUUUUUUUUUUGGGAAGGUGUCUUUUGUAAGACAACUAAGGAAGUCUGUUCUUGAAUAUAGGUAAAUAAUAGGUGAAAUAUUAUAAUUUUAUUUCAAUAAUAAUCGAAUUUAUCAAAUAUCCUAGACGUUAUUUUGCGUACGUACUUAGUGACAAAUGACCCCCUUUUUUCUCAUAAGACUUGUACACGUAUUUAAAACAUGUUGUCAAGCUAUGUCCUUUUAUUUUUUCUUAUUUGUUAACUGUCCAGUAAGCAGUAAACUAAAAUCCUUUUGAACUAAAGAUAUUUUUAAAAAUUAUUUGUGGUCGACAAUAUUCUACUUUCGUUAUUGACCUUCAUUCUCUGGACACCAUGUGGUCGUGGGCUUUGAAAUGUGAACUACAAAAGGUGGUGAUUUCCAGAUUUUUGACAACAUUAUACUUUCUUUUAUUUGAUUAUAUUUUCAUAACAUGCUAGUCAUCGCAAAAACCGAACAGGGUCAUAAUGUCCAUCGGAACAUCUCUCUUUUUAUCCUUGCAAACAUACAAUACUUUCCGACUUUAAAUAGACGACCAAUCAAUGGACUGCAUUUACAUGAACUAUAUUUAGUCAAAGGUAAACACUGAUUUACAUCCUUGUUUAUCGAGACUUUAAUCGUGGAAGCUGAUGCAUUGAGCAAUUUUUUUUUAAUAUUAACCUGACUAUCUUUUUAUCUUUAUUAUUUUUUUUACUCAUGCAAAAAUAGCCGGCGGGAAAAGGACAAUAACCGGCGAAAAUCGCCGGCUGCCGGCUUUAAACGACAUCACUGGGGUAUGGAAAACGAAGAUGUGAAAUAAAAGAAGAAUGUGUCUGAUGACACUAAUGACCUGGCUCAAGCCUGGUGAAAAUACUUUAUAAGAGAUUCUGAUGUUAGUGUUUUUAUGCCCCACCUAAAAUAGUAGAGCCAUUAUGUUUUCUGUUCCAGUGAUCUGGAAGGUUUUUUUCCUUAUGGGCCCAGGGCCCCUCAAAAAUAAAUGCAAUGGGCCAUUUUAAAAAAUAAUGGGCCAUUUGAAUUGACUUCUGUAAAAAAAAAAGUAUCAGUAUAUUUUGACAAAGAGGUGUUCAUGAUGUUGGUACUUACAUUGUACCUUUAUGAUUUUAAAUAAAAUCAUGGAUAUUGUUCCUGUUAUUUUGUAAUUUCAGUUUCAAUGAAUAUACAAUAACUUCUUCCUGACAUUAUAAAAUUAAGUUAACCUUUAUUUUCAAUGUUUAAACUGGUACUGUUGUGGUUUCAUGUUCAUGUGUUUUUUUUGUACAUUAUAUUUGGGUCUUCGUUGAUACCACUACUAUUCCAGACGUUCUGUAUAAGAGGACAUUUCAGGCAUUUCCUCUGCACUUCUUGUAUUAUUAUAACUUAAUCACGGUGACAAGAAUAACAGUAAAGAGUACCAUUUAUUCAUAGGUCAAAACAACAAAUCGCUGAAGUCAUGUUUACAAAAUGUCAAAACAAGCCAAAGACCAAAAAUGACAAGGACAGUUAAGCAUCUUUUAUGGAGACAAAAAAUAUAUAAUUCCUAAAAAGUCUUUGGGGUUCUUCAAUCGAAAUAAUAGCAAGCUGAACUAAAUAAGAUUAUUAUUGGAGUUAAAUCUCGUCUUUACUAGCCAAAUUUCCCAAAUUUAAAAUUGUUUAUAAAAAAAAUAUAUCAUGAAUGAUGGUUAAUUACGUUUUUCGGGUUAUCAGUUAGAUCGCAUGGAUCUAUUAUGACAAUUGGAAAACACCCAAGACGUUAAACCGCAUGGUUUUAUUAUCAUAGGGAAACACCCGAGGCAUCCUAAAAAUAUAUAGGGGCUCCUAUUAUUGGAGGAACAUUACACAGUUGUGUGUACACACACAUGGUGGCACGGAACACGAUCGGAAAUCCAUUUGACGAUAUCUAAGUGUUUCGAAACGAAGUGAAAAAUAUCAUGCACCACGUGGGCGCUUAUAUUUGUCUCUGUGCCAUUUCUUGUCAAUAUGCGCUAUAGACGCAGGGUGCACGUCCUUCCCGAUCACUGCUGGUCUGGGGGGUCGUUUGUCUGUGUGUCUGUUGGUUCGUCUGUCCCGCUUCAGGUUAAAGUUUUUAAUCAAGGUAGUUUUUGAUGAAGUUGAGAAGUCCAAUCAACUUGGAAACUUAGUACACAUGUUCCCUAGGAUAUGAUCUUUCUAAUUCUAAUUCCAAAUUAGAGUUCUGACCCCAAUUUCAGGGUCCACUGAACAUAGAAAAUGAUAGUACAAGUAGGGCAUCCAUGUACUUGGGGACACAUUCUUGCUUGAGCAUGCAACAGAAAGUUUGACAAUUGGGUAGUGAUCUAGUGGCACAGUGUUAAAAACUUCUUAAAAACUUAAUGUUUUAAGAGGUAGAAGACUGGAUCCUUCAUACUUUGUAUAAAGAUAAGCUAUGUAGUGAUGUUUCCUUCUGUCAUAUGUCCAGUGUUUGUGACCUCAUUUUCAUGAUUCAGUGACUAUUUGGAAAAAAAGUUCAGAUUUUUAAUAUUCUUUAUUUCUCACUUAUUAUGAGUUAUAGGAUCACUAUAUUUAGUAUCUGUGUACCUUGUAAGGUCCUCAUGCCUGUCAGACAUUUUUGACUUAACCUCAUUUCAUGGAUCAGUGAAAAACGUUAAGUUUUGAUGGUCAAGUCCAUAUCUUUGAUACUAUGAGCAAUACUUCUACUAUAUUUGAUGUAUGACAUGAUACCAGUACAUGUCCAUCUGAUAAGUGUCAUCUGACCUUGAUCUCAUUUUCAUGGUUAAGUGGUUAAAAUCAAUUUUUAUGUUUUGGUGUCUUUUUCUAAUACUAACUGUAAUGACUGUAUGCAAUAGGUCAACUAUAUUUGGUGCAUGAAAAUAUUUUAGGAUGUUCAUGUCAGUCAGGUAUCUUUUCCUUUACCUUGACCUCAUUUUUAGCUCACCUGGCCCAAAGGGCCAAGUGAGCUUUUUUCAUCACUUGGCAUCCGGCGUCCGGUGUCCGUAAACUUUUACAAAAAUCUUCUCCUAUAUAUCACUUGGUGUCCACCAUCUGGUGUCCAUAAACUUUUACAAAAAUCUUCUCCUCUGAAACUACUGGGCUAAAUUUAAUAAAACUUUGCCACAAUCAUCAUUGGGGUAUCUUGUUUAAAAAAUGUGUCCGAUGACCCUGCCAACCAACCAAGAUGGCCGCCAUGGCUAAAAAUAGAACAUAGGGGUAAAAUGUAGAUUUUGGCUUAUAUCUCUGAAACCAAAGCAUUUAGAGCAAAUCUGACACGAAGUAAAAUUGUUUAUCCGGUCAAGAUCUUUCUGGCCGGAAAUAUUUAGAAAAAUUUGACAACCCAUUGGGUUGCUGCCCCCGAAUUAGUAAUUUUAAGGGAAUUUGCAGUUUUUGGUUAUUAUCUUGAAUAUUAUAAAAGAUAGAGAUAAACUGUAAACAGCAAUAAUGUUCAGCAAAGUAAGAUCUACAAAUAUGUCAACAUGACCAAAAUAGUCAGUUGACCCCUUAAGGAGUUAUUGCCCUUUAUUCAACCAUUUUUCCAACAUUUUAGUAAUCUUUUAAAAAAAAUCUUCUCCUCUGAAACUACUAAGACAAAUUUAACCAAACUUGUCCACAAUCAUCAUUAGGGUAUCUUGUUUAAAAAUAUUGUCUGAUGAUUCUGCCUGUGAACCAAGAUGGCUGACAUAGCUUAAAAUAGUACAUAGGGUAAAAUGCAGUUUUUUGCUCAUAUCUCAGAAACCAAAGCAUUUAGAGCAAAUCUGAUAAGGGUAAAUUUUUUCGAUAAGUCAAGGUCUGUCUGUCCUGAAAUUUGUAGACCAAUCAGGCAACCUGUUGUUGGGUUACUGCCACUGAAUUGGUAAUUUUAAGAAAAUUUUGUAGCUUUUGGUUAUUUUAUUAAAAAUUAUAUAGAUACAGGUAAACUGUAAACAGCAAUAAUGUACAGCAAAGUAAGACCUACAAAUAAGUCAGCAUGAUCAAAAUGGUCAAUUGAGAUAUUACCCUUUAAAGUAAAUUUUUAACGAUUUUCAUGAAUUUUGUAAAUUUUUUACAAAAUACUUUAACUACUGGGCCAAGUUUAAUAUAGUUAGAGAUAAUUGUAAGCAGAUAGAGUGUUCAAUAAAGUAAGAUCUACAAACACAUCACCAUCACCCAAACACAAUUUUGUCAUGAAUCCAUCUGUGUCCUUUGUUUAUGAUAUGCACAUAGACCAAGGUGAGGGACACAGGCUCUUUAGAGCCUCUAGUUAUGGUUCAUUGCUCAAUGUUAGGUUUUGUAUAUUGACCUGUUUUUCUAAUGCUAUAAGCAAUAGGUCAACCAUAUUUAGUGUGUGGCAUGAUUCUAAGUUGAAUAUUUCUGUCUGGCAAUAAUCAUUUGACCAUGACCUUAUUUUCAUGGAUAAUUGGUCAGUAUUAUGUUUUCCUGGUAAAGUUUGUUUCUUAGAUACAAUAAGCAAUAAGUCAACUAUUUUUAAAGCAUGUAAUGAUUGUUCUAUUGUCUGUCUUGUAGAGUUCAUCUGACUUUGACCUCAUUUUCAUGGUUCAAUGCUUAAUUUUAAGUUUUCCUGCCUACGUUUGUCACUUAGAUAUAUGCAAUAGAUCAUCUAUAUUUAAAGCGUAUUCGGUGUGUGAAAUGUUUGUACUAUGUACAUGUAUUUCCAGUUGGGUUUUAUCAUUUAUAUGAACUUGACCUCAUUUUUUGGAUCAUGUUAAGUUUAUAUGAUAGUUGUACAUGAAGUAAAGCUUUAUAUUUAGGACUAUCAACAUAAAAAUUAAUGGUUAGAAAAGAAGGCUAAACAUUUCAGUGUGUGCACUAUUGUUAAAGAGCUCUAUUAUUCUUAAUAGUCAUAGAUAUUUUUGUGCUGUAUGCAGGGCUUCCAAAAAAUAUUUGAGCCAGCCAGACAUUUUAUAUCUGAUCCUGAUUUUAAUACCUAAUACCUAAAACUUAGUCACAAAAAGCAGUUAUGGUAAUCAGAUGGCCAUACCAAUGAUUGACAUUACUUUGAUUUGAAUUUGAUGUUCUGAUGUAAACUGUUGAAUUGGCAGUGCAUCAUUCAAAGUGUGCACAUCAGCCUGCUCAUAUCUGCCUUAGACUCUUUAUUUUUUAAAAUGACUUUGUCAAAAACUUUACUUUCGUUUUAAAAAUCACAUUUUCUUAAAACCAGAUGUUGAUUUGACAAUGGUAAAACAUAAACCAUAAACCGUACUUAAAAUCUGUGUACGUUUAGGUGUCAGACCACUAAUUACUCCCUCCAAUUUAAAACGUAUGUAAAAGUAGUCCUACUCUGACACAAAAUAGUGCUUUUGAUGCCAUUGUUUACUUAAACUAACCAACAAAUUUGCAGAAAUGAAACUUUUGGUGAAAGGGAAAUAUAUUUAGACCAUUUUAAGCCAAAAUCCACUUGUCUAUUUGUUUGUGUUAAAAAUUCAGGAUUAAUGCGCUACAUAGUACACUAAUUUAAGAUUUCCAGAAAACCAGGAGUUAUUUUGGUAGUACCUGUGUUUUCAAAAUCAGAAAUUUCUAAUGAGACUUUAAACAUUGGUUGAAAAUUGGCAUGUAGAAAGGUGAUAUAUGUACAAUUCAGGAUAUACCUGGUUUCCUUGAAGUUAAACUUUAGGUAAAAUAUUUAGAAAGCUGUGAAAAUUGCAAAAUUUGGUUGAACAGAUAGGGAUUUUUAAUUGGUGGUCUGAUCUUGAAAACACAGGUACUACCAAAAUAACUCCUGGCUGUGUGGUAUUUCAUAUUUUCGUUGAUUUUAUUUCUUGUUUAACAACAUUCCUGAUAAGUUAUGUUGUGUAGUGUCUCAGUUCUUGAAUAAUGCUUUAUUUCUUUUACUCCUUAUCUCUUUUUUAGCUUUACUUGUCUGCAAGUUUUGGUUCUGAGCAUUCUGUAGAAUUUUUUCAUAAAAUUUGGAUGAAGAAAACUAAGUUAAAGUGCAGAAAUGAAAAUGGGACAGACAGACAGAUGAUUAAGGGCAACAUGUUAUGCUCCCUUCUCCUAGCGACUGGGGCAUUAAAAGUUAAAAGAAAUUGAAGUGAUGAUUUUUGUGUUUAAAAGGAAAAGAACCAAAAAACAAUAGUUAUUUAACUUAAUUUAAAAAGAUUUGCAAUGAACUUUAUUUGGUGAGAAGUAAUUAUUAGAUGAUAAUCACUUACUUUCUGUUAUCAUACAAUUUCUUUUGAUAAUUUAAAUGAGAUAUUUCCUCAUUGAAUUUGACCAACAGACACCUGUUUUCUCUUCAGUUUUAAAUUAUUUAAUUACAACUGUAUUUAUCAAUGCCUGGAUCUCUUAAUGAAAUGUAAGUUUUAUCUGCUUUUUAAUGUAAAUCUGUUUGAGAGUAUAUAUAGAUGUAAUUAACUAAAUUAGUUUGUUGAUAAAGUUGUUAGAUUUACUUAUCUCCUUGAUAGUUUGAUAAUUGUUCCCAAUUUUUUGAUAAAAAACUUAUUACCAAUUGAAUCCUGUGGGUGUUUAUGUAAUGUUUUGGAACUUUUCCAUACUUUUAUGUGUCUGAUUAAUUUAUACUGCCUAAAUUCAGUUUAUAGUGAAGACAAUGUAUAAGUAUUUAUGAUUAAACAAUUAACAGCUUUGAUUACUUGUUUUCAGCUGGCUAUUUAACAGUAAGCUAAUACAUUGACUAUUUUGAAAAUCUUUUGUACUAAAAAAAAAAAAGCUUGCCAAGGUGCAAUUUUAUAUUCUAUUUAAAAACAAAACAAAAAAAUUCUUCACAAAAAUGUUAAAAAAAAAUUACAGAUUGAAUUCCCUCUGUCUGUCUGACCACCUGCCCAUCCAUCUGUUGGUUUGACUUUGAUGUUCCUUAUUUGUUUUCAAUCUUUGCUUUAUCUCUGGUUGGUACUGACCAUGAAAAUGUAAUUUUAUUGGUCAAUGCUUCUGUAGUUCAGUCAUUUUCUCAGACAUUUUAGUAAUAGUUCAACCUUUAUUUGGUGUAUGGGAUGGUUUUAUUGUCCUCAUUGUCAUGGUUCAUUGGUCAAUAUUUGGUGUCGCAUUAAGUUGUUUUUUUAGAUAUUUUAAGAAAAAGGUCAACUAUAUUUGGUGCAUGCCAUGAUUCUGAAGGGAAUAUGUCUGUCUGACAUGUUUCAUUUGACCUUGACCUCACUUUCACAAUAUCCCCAUCAGUUGUAUUUCAUGAGGAAAAUAGGUUGUUUAUUUUUGCUUUAUUUGCCAUUGCAUCAUCAUUUAGUUUUAAACUUGUGAGUUUGAAAACCCCUUUGGUAUUGUUUGCCUCUUUUUUACAGAUAUUCUAUCAGGAGCUGAUUGGAUGUUUCACAGAUGAUAUAGGAUAUGAUGUAACUAUAAUCUCAUUUUCACAUCCCUUUUCAGGAAUGUGACCUACUGAAUUAGACUAUUUACCAGGUUUGACAUGAGUAACAUGGCUGGCACCAAAUGUGUUUCCUGAAUUUGUGUUUGUCUUUUUAUGCCCCCCCCCAACUAAAAGUUGGGGAGCAUAUUGUUUUACUCCUGUCUGUCUGUCUGUCUUUUAGUUUUCGCUUUCUAACUUUAGUAAAAGUGAAUAGAAUUCUAUGAAAUUUUAACAUAAGGUUUAUGACCACAAAAGGAAGGUUGGGAUUGAUUUUGGGAGUUUUGGUCCCAACAUUUUAGGAAUUAGGGGCCAAAAAGGGCCCAAAUAAGCAUUUUCUUGGUUUUCGCACUAUAACUUUAGUUUAAGUAAAUAGAAAUCUAUGAAAUUUUGACACAAGGUUUAUGACCACUAAAGGAAGGUUGGGAUUGAUUUUGGGAGUUUUAGUUCAAACAGUUUAGGAAUUAGGGGCCAAAAAAGGGCCCAAAUAAGCAUUAUUCUUGGUUUUCGCACAAUAACUUUAGUAUUAGUAAAUAGAAAUCUAUGAAAUUUAAACACGAGGUUCAUGACCACUAAAGGAAGGUUGGGUUUGAUUUUGGGAGUUUUGGUCCCAACAGUUUAGGAAUAAGGGGCCCAAAGGGUCCAAAAUUGAACUUUGUUUGAUUUCAUCAAAAAUUGAAAAAUUGGGGUUCUUUGAUAUGCCGAAUCUAACUGUGUAUGUAGAUUCUUAAUUUUUGGUCCCGUUUUCAAAUUGGUCUACAUUAAGGUCCAAAGGGUCCAAAAUUAAACUUAGUUUUAUUUUAACAAAAAUUGAAUCCUUGGGGUUCUUUGAUAUGCUGAAUCUAAAAAUGUACUUAGAUUUUUGAUUAUUGGCCCAGUUUUCAAGUUGGUCCAAAUCGGGGUCCAAAAUUAAACUUUGUUUGAUUUCAUCAAAAAUUGAAUAAUUGGGGUUCUUUGAUAUGCCAAAUCUAACUGUGUAUGUAGAUUCUUAAUUUUUAGUCCUGUUUUCAAAUUGGUCUACAUUAAAGUCCAAAGGGUCCAAAAUUAAACUAAGUUUGAUUUUAACAAAAAUUGAAUCCUUGGGGUUCUUUGAUAUGCUGAAUCUAAAAAUGUACAUAGAUUUUUGAUUAUUGGCCCAGUUUUCAAGUUGGUUCAAAUCAGGAUCCAAAAUUAUUAUAUAAAGUAUUGUGCAAUAGCAAGAAAUUUUCAAUUGCACAGUAUUCAGCAAUAGCAAGAAAUCUUCAAUUGCACAGUAUUGUGCAAUAGCAAGAAAUUUUCAAUUGCUCAGUAUUGCGCAAUAGCAAGAAAUCUUCAAUUGCACAGUAUUUUGUGCAAUAGCAAAUAUUUUCAAUUGCACAGUAUUGCGCAAUAGCAAGAAAUAUCUAAUUGCACAAUAUUGUGCAAUAGCAAGAAAUUUUCAAUUGAUUGGAGUUAUCUUUCUUUGUCCAGAAUAGUAGUUAAAUCAACUUAAAUCAUUGUUUUAUACAAUAUACAAUGUAUAUUCACUUUUACUACCAACUGAUAAAUUAAAACAAUCUUUACCAUUCAGUGAUAACAAGCACCUUUUGUUACAUUUUAAUAUUUUAUGAUGUAUUUAAAUGAGUAGUUAUUGUUGCAAACUCCAUAAGAAAUUUGAAUUGAGAUCAGUUUUGGAAAAAGGGAAAGGGGGAUGUGAAAAAAAAAUGGGGGGGGGGGGGUUAAAUUUUUUUCUCAUUUCAGAUUUCAUAAAUAAAAAGAAAAUUUCUUCAAACAUUUUUUUGAGAGGAUUAAUAUUCAACAGCAUAGUGAAUUGCUCAAAGGCAAAAAAAAAUAUUUUAAGUUCAUUAGACCACAUUCAUUCUGUGUCCGAAACCUAUGCUGUGUCAACUUUUUAAUCACAAUCCAAAUUUAGAGCUGAAUCCAGCUUGAAUGUUGUGUCCAUACUUGCCCCAACCGUUCAGGGUUCAACCUCUGCGGUCGUAUAAAGCUGUGCCCUGCGGAGCAUCUGGUUGGUUAUUAUCUUGAAUACUAUUAUAGAUAGAGAUAAACUGUAAACAGCAAUAAUGUUCAGCAAAAUAAGACCUACAAAUAAGUCAACAUGACCAAAAUUGUCAGUCAACCCCUUAAGGAGUUAUUGCCUUUUAUAGUCAAUUUUAACAACUUUUUUCGUCAUUUUUUGUAACUUGUACAAAAAUCUUAUUCUCUGAAACUACCGGGCCAAAUUUAUACUAACUUGGCCACAAUCAUAAUUUUGGUAUAGUUUGAAAAAUAUGUCCGAUGACCUCACCUACCAAACAAAAUGGCUGACAUGGCUAAAAUUAGAACAUAGUGGUAAAAUGCAGUUUUUGCUUUAUAUCUUUGAAACUAAGACAUUUAGGGCCAAUCUUUCAAGAUUUAAAUGUCCAUCAGAAUAAGAUCCAUCCCUUAACAAAUUUUCAGAUGAAUCCUACAACCCGAUGUUGGGUUGCUGCCCUAAAAUUGGUAAUUUUAAGGAAAUUUUGCAGUUUUUGGUUAUUAUCUUGAAUACUAUUAUAGCAGUCAGGGGACUUACUUAAACAAGUGAUUUUAUAAAUCACUGAUUCAAGUAACAUUAUUUCCAUAAAGGUUGGAAGUUAGAGUUGUCUUUCUUUAAUAAUCACCUAUUUAAGUAGUACAAAUUAAUCACUAGAAGAAGUGAUUUAAUUUUAUUGUAGCUUUAAAUAUAGAAUACUAAUGAUCCAAGGACUAAUUAUGUUUCUAAACUUAUCAGAACCAACAUCUGUGUUGUCUAGGAUGACCAGGUCAUUUCAGGUGAUGACAUUGUACUGAAUCUAGGAUAAUGACAUAAAAAUCACUUGUUUAAGUAUCAGACCUCAAUUUCCUUCCCAAAAAUCACUUCUUUAAGUAUCAUUCUGUUAAUUACCCCCACUAAUUUCAACACCCCCGAACAGUGAAAUUUUUAUCGCGCGAACAGUAGAAUUUUAUUACAUAAUCUGAAAGAUGAAACCUUGAACUUCACAGGAAAAAUACUCCCACUGCUGUGAAAAAUCUUUUAAGAAAGUAUCAGUUCAUUAUGUAAAGCCAUUAUUAUAGCAUUUUUUCAACUAAAAUAUAAUUUUCAGCUAAAUGAUAGCAUCAAAGGCAUAAACCUUGCUACUUAAAAGAAUCAAAAAGUUCAUAUUUUUUAAUUUUACUAAUUAAAAGAUAUUAUUUAAACCUAUGAGUUUAAAAUUUUGAAAAAACUACAAAAUCCCAAUUUGUGACAAAACCUCGAAUUUGCUACUCAAAUAAGUGAUUUAAAAAUCACUUAUUUCAGUAAGAGAUAAACUGUAAACAGCAAUAAGGCUUAAAUUAAAAUAUGUUUGUUUGCAGUUUACCGACCGACCCUUGAAAAUCCUCCCGACUGUGAAAAUUUUAUUGCUUUAAAUUUGAAGAAAUUUUUUUUUAAUACUUCUAUUGACGCGAUCCGGAACUUUGGUGUCCUUUCCGGAAAUGAUUUAAAGUCUGGGUCAAUUACGCAUUUUCAAGUUCGGUUUUUCUUAGCUUCCCGUCAAGCGUUCAUGUGACCAUUUAAUGAUAAAGCACAUGGAAAUUGUUUACAGGUAUCCAUGAAGUCACGGAGGAGUACUUUACGCUGUCGUCUCGUGUCAAUUUUAAGACAAAUAACAAACAAAAAAGUUUAUUAGUAAACUGUUUAUACAGAUUCAGGCACAUGUUAUGAUGUGUGAUGAUAUCAUUGACGAUGAUGCAGCGGAUAUUCAUAACUGACACGAUAACCAUUCUGUCUCAAACAAAUCAGGUACAGAAUCUGGAGCCUGACUUUAUGGAACCAAUUUCAGUGGUUAAAUAAUUCGACAGCAGCUUGAAGUAUGGCAUAUUUUCUACAAAUCGUUGUGAAGACGACAAAGAUGAAACCACUCCUCCGUGACUUAAAUCUUCAUGGAUAUCUGUAAACACGCCUGUACGGAGGAAGGGCUCAUUUGAAAAGUUAAUGGAUAUAGAUCAUGCCAAAUCAAUAAGAAGCAACCCUAACUACACAAAGAUGUAGAGAAAAUAAAUGGUUAGCUUGAAAAAUAAAUAUACUCUCUCUAUAUUAAAUCUAUCUUCGAUUGCAAUGAGUAUGCUCCUUUAGGAUAAGGGGGGCUGCCCCACUCAUUGCAAUUAUUCUCUUUCUUACAAUAUUAAAUAUACCCAAACUGUGUGGCCUGUGUGAAUUCAAUUAAAACAUGUCCUUAGGAGCUAUGCCGCCAAUUUUUUUUAUGCAUUAAAAACAUUUCAGUACAGACCAUUUACUUUUAAUGGGGUGCUAUGGAUUUCACCCCAAACUUUAGAUUUCUUUGGUUUUCAUUAAAGCCUGGCAAAAAUAUAACCUUAUCACAUAUAAUUAAAUAUUGUUAGAAAUAUGAAAACAGUCGAAUGUCUUAAUACUUUUUUUUCAAGUUGCCUUUUUUUCAAUUGAGGAAGAUUCAAUGGUUAUUUUUUUUAUUAAAAAUACACUCUUUAAUACAUUGUCUUAUAAAUCUUUAAUAUCUACAUUUUUCUGAUGAAAAUAUUCUACUCAUGAAAACAUUCUAGUCAAGAAGCAUACAUGUCUGAAUAUAUUUCUUUAAAACAGUUCUAGUCAUAAUGACAUUCCUUGUUUAUAAGUGUUCCAGUAUUUAAUAAUUAUACCAUAUUUUAUGUCAUAAAUUGGAUAAUGACACUAUGUUAAAGUUUCAGUUUUGAUUAAAAGUUUUUUAUCUGAAAAUGCCUGUUCAUUUGAUGUUGGUUUUCAGCAUGUCCAGUGUUUGUUGUUUUAAAAUGGUUUUUUUUUCUUCACAAGAAACUUGGUUUAGUGUAACUGCUUGUUUAAACUGUAUUUUGGCUGAUAAAAUAAAAUAUUUUUCCUACCUACCGACCCUUCAGUCUGAAGGUACAGUCGGAAAACUGCAAACAAACAUAUUUUUAAGGUUGGCCUAAUGUUCAGCAAAGUAAGAUCUACAAAUAGGUCAACAUGACCAAAAUUGUCAGAGAACCCCUUAAGGAGUUAUUGUCUUUUAUAGUCAAUAUUGAACAACUUUUCGUCAUUUAUGUAACUUGUACAAAAAUCUUCUUUUCUAAAACUAUGGGCCAAAUUUAACCAAACUGGGCCACAAUCUUUACUAGGGUAUCUAUUUUAAAAAAAGUGUCUAAUUACAGUGACAGGUGAGCAAUACAGGCUCUUGAGAGCCUCUAGUUUCACAUUUUUGUUGAGCUUGAGACUAUUAAACAGCAAAGGUAGGUGAGACACUGGGUUCCACUGAACCCUUACCAAUUUUAAGCCAUGGUGUUGUCAGUUUAUUUUCGAUCUUUGAGUUUGAAUGUCCUUCUGGUAUCUUUGCCCAUCUUUUAUUGUUUUGGAGUCUUUGCCUGAAAAAUUUAAAGAGUUGUACAGUUUUGAAUGCAUUUGGAAGGAAUUUUAAAUUAAUUAUUUCAUUUGAACUGGUGUCUUUAUUACAUCCUAUUUUUGUAACAUUAAUUCCUCCAAUGUUUUACUCAGCUUUUGUGCAUUGAACCUGAAACUAUACAAAAUAUUCAAAUGUUUAUUGCAAAUUACUGAAAUCUACAAACUUGUUUCGUAACUUAUUUUAUUAAUAUGAGCAUUAAAUUGAUAGAAAUGAAGAAGUUCAGUUAGUCACUUCCACAAUUCAUAUAAUUAAUUCGUUAUUCCAUAUCAGAAAAAUAUAAAUAUAGAAAUGCUUUGCUUUGUUUUAUUUGAUUUGAUUUUUUGUUCUGUAAUAUGAUCUUCUUAUAGCUAUAUGGUUUUAUUUGAAGCUAAUUUGUACAGAAAAUUACAAAAAUUAAUCUUGAGGAAAAUAAUAUGGAAUAUUUUAACAUGUUAAUCUGAUUUUUUUCAAAUUACAAAAUCCACUGCAGCUGUGUCCAAUUAACGACUUAUUCCAGAAAAACAACAUAUGACGUUAAUCACUUUCUAAAUGAAUUUUAAACAAUCAAUAUUAUUAUUAUUAUUAUUAUUAAGACUACAUCCACGUGAAUGUUUAUGAUAAAUCCAAGUAAAUUAAAUUCUUGACAAUGGCCUAUCUUUGAUGAAUUUGUCCAACAAAUAGAGCACUAAACAGAAAAUUUUCUCCUUGUUGUAUUUAAACAACAACUAGAUGGUGUAAUUAACUAUUUUUUCUAUUUAUAAAAAAAAUACUGAACUUAAAAGGAACCAAGGGAUGUAAUUCUUGCUUUGAAUAUCAGAAAUACAUGCAGGGAGCUUAUAAUUUGAAGUAAGGAAACAGUUAAAAUAGUCACUCAUUAUAGGACUGCAAAAAAUUGCUAUCACAAUGUCAUCGUCCAAAGAAAUUUGGUUUCUGAAUAAUUUUUUCCUUUCAAGAUUUAAAAAAUCAGUAUCUUUUAGAGGCUGAUAAAGUUUGAAAAGUAGAAGGGGAUGUUAACUGUCCACUGGUAAAUUAACUUGUGAAUUUGUAGGUAUUUUGGCACAAGAGUAAUUAAACCUCUAACGGGAGGGAUUGUGCCUGAUAUUCAUAUGAUGAAGACAUAAUCUUUCAAUCAGUUUAAUUGAGGUCUGGAGCUGGCAUGUCAGUUAACUGCUAGUAGUCUGUUGUUAUUUAUGUAUUAUUGUCAUUUUGUUUAUUUUCUUUUGUUGCAUUUUCUGACAUCGGACUCGGAGUUCUCUUGAACUGAAUUUUAAUGUGCGUAUUGUUUUGUUUAACCCCGCCGCAAUUUUGCGCCUGUCCCAAGUCAGGAGCAUCUGGCCUUUGUUAGUCUUGUAUGAAUUUUAAUUUUAGUUUCUUGUGUAUAAUUUGGAGUUUAGUAUGAUGUCCAUUAUCACUGAACUAGUAUACAUAUUUUUUAAGGGGCCAGCUGAAGGACGCCUCAGGGUGCGGGAUUUUCUCACUACAUUGAAGACCCAUUGGUGGCCUUCGGCUGUUGUCUGCUCUAUGGUCGGGUUGUUGUUGCUUUGACACAUUCCCCAUUUCCUUUCUCAAUUUUAUGUCUAGCUAGAAUAACUUAAUAGUUAGUAUCAUCUGAACUUUAUUUCAUAAUAUUAAGGUCUGCUUGUUACAGAACUUUGUUCUAUGUAAGGGAUUAUCAUUGGUAUACUGCAUUUGUUAUAUUUACACUCAUUUAAACUAUUGACUGUAUAGAGAAAUUUAAAUAGAGUCGAUCAGGCCAAAAAGGUACCAGUACAUGCUAUAGUCAUUUUAAUAUGCUAAAAAUAUGCUGACUUACAGUGAUGGGUAUUUGUCAGAUUUACAAAGGUAAUUUGAUCAUAUGUAUCACUUUUCCAUAGUUAUCUGUCCUUCCUUUCUAAGCACUUUUCUGCAGAAGCACGGAGGCAAAUAAGACCUGACAUCGCAGACAUUUUCUCUAUUACUGUUGUCAAAAGUUUAUUAUUGUUCUGCAAGAAUAUAACACAUUUUUACCAGAACGCAGGGUUUUCAACUGCUGAAACUUUAAAGAGUUCAUACUGACACUCCUUCAAUCAGUUUAAAAAAUGUUUUUGACCCCUUAAUCAAUCAGCUUUAACUAAAUGUUCUUGACAGCCCCCUCCCCCCCCCCUCUUAUUUAGUUGAAAACCUAAUGUUCUUGACACUGCAUCAGUCAGUUCAAACCAAAUGUUCUUGACUCUCCAUCAGUCAGUUGAAACCAAAUGUUCUUGACUCUCAAUCAGUCAGUUGAAACCAAAUGUUCUUGACUCUCAAUCAGUCAGUUGAAACUAAAUGUUCUUGACUCUCAAACAAUCAGUUGAAACCAAAUUUUCUUGACACUUUGUCAGCCUGUUGAAACCAAAUGUCUUUUACAAUUCACCAAUUAGUAAAAACUGAAUGUUCAUUAAACUCUACCAAUCAGUUCAAACUACAUGUUCUUUAUACUCCACUAAUCAGUAGAAACCAACUGUUCUUGACUCCAUGUCAAUAGAAACUAAAUGUUCUUGUCUCUCAAUCAAUCAGUUAAAACCAACUGUUAUUGACUCUCCAUCAGUCAGUUGAAACCAAAUGUUCUUAAUUCCACCAUUAAGUUCAAACCAUGUGUUCUUGACUCCAUCAGUCAGUUGAAAUUAACUGUUCUUGACUCUCCAUCAGUAAGUUGAAACCAAAUGUUCUGGACUCUCCACCAAUCAGUUCAAACCAUGUGUUCUUGACUCAAUCAGUCAAUAGAAACCAAAUGUUUUUGACUCUCCAUCAAUCAAUAGAAACCAAAUGUUUUUGACUCUCCAUCAAUCAGUAGAAACCAACUGUUCUUGACCCCAUCUGUCAAUAGAAACUAAAUGUUCUUGCCUCUCAAUCAAUCAGUAGAAACUAACUGUUUUGACUCUCUGUCAGUUAGUUGAAACCAAAAGUUCUUGACUCUCCAUCAGUCAGUUGAAACCAAAUGUUCUUGACUCUCCACCAAUCAGUUAAAACCAUGUGUUCUUGACUCUCCAUCAGUCAGUUGAAACCAACUGUUCUUGACUCUCCAUUGGUCAGUUGAAACCAAAUGUUCUUGACUCUCCAUCAGUAAAUAGAAACCAAAUGUUCUAAACACUCCAUCAGUCAAUAGAAACCAACUGUUAUUGACUCUCCAUCAGACAGUAGAAACCAAAUGUUCUUUACUCUCCAUCAGUCAAUAGAAACCAAAUGUUCUUGACUCUCCAUCAAUCAGUUCAAACCACAUGUUCUUGACUCUCCAUUAGUCAGUUGAAACCAAAUGUUCUUAACUCUCCAUUGGUCAGUUGAAACCAAAUGUUCUUGACACUGCAUCACUCAGUUGAAACAAAAUGUUCUUGACACUUCACCAAUCAGUUCAAACCCCAUGUUCUUAUCUCUCCAUCAGUCAGUUCAAACCAACUGUUCUUGACUCUGCAUUAGUCAGUUGAAACCAACUGUUCUUGAAUCUCCAUUAGUCAGUUGAAACCAAAUGUUCUUGACACUCCACCAAUCAGUUUGAAACCCAUGUUCUUAACUCUCCAUCAGUCAGUUAAAAACAACUGUUCUUGACUCUGCAUUAGUCAGUUGAAACCAACUGUUCUUGACUCUCCAUUAGUCAGUUGAAACCAAAUGUUCUUGACUCUCCAUUGGUCAGUUGAAACCAAAUGUUCUUGACGCUGCAUUACUCAGUUGAAACAAAAUGUUCUUGACACUCCACCAAUCAGUUCGAACCCCAUGUUCUUAACUCUCCAUCAGUCAGUUGAAACCAACUGUUCUUGACUCUGCAUUAGUCAGUUGAAACCAACUGUUCUUGACUCCAUUAGUCAGUUGAAACCAAAUGUUCUUGACACUACAUUUGUCAGUUGAAACCAACCGUUCGUGUCUCUCCUUCAGUCAGUUGAAACUAAAUCAAUUAAAUUUUAACAUAAGGUUUAUAACCACUAAAGGAAGAUUGGGAUUGGUAUUGAGGGUUUUGGUCCCAACCGUUUAGGAACAAAGGGCCCAAAAGGGGUCAAAAUUAGUAUUUUUCUAGUUUCCAGGCAAUAACUUGUGUGUAAGUGUAUAGAUCAUUCUUAAAUUGAACUACAAGGUUCCAUUCAAAAAAAAGGAAGCAUGGGAUUGAUUUUAUGGGUUAUGGCCCAAACUGUUAAGGAAUUAGGGGCAAAAAAGGGGCAAAAAACAAUACUAUUCUAAUACUUUGUAUAAAUUGCUUAUUUCUUAACCAAUUUCAAUGGGGUUUUAUUCUUGAAUUCUUGGGGUUCUUAAAUAUGCUGAAUCUAUCAGUGGAAUUUGAAUUGGUCCUCAUUUUUAAAUUGGUCCAAAUGAGGUCCAAAGGGUCCAAAAUUAAAUUUAGUUUGAUUUCAUCAAAAUUGGAAUAAUGGAGGUUCUUUGAUAGGCCGAAACUAACCAUGUAUUUAGAUUUUUAAUUUUGGGUCCUGUUUUCAACUUGGUAUACAUUUUGGUCCAAAGGGUUCAAAAUAAAAAUUAGUUUGAUUUUAUUAAAACUUUAGUUCUUUUGGUUCAUUGAUAUGCUGAAUCUAAACAUGUAUUUAGAUUUUUUAUUAUGGGCCCAGUUUUCAAGUUGGUCCAAAUUGGGGUCCAAAACUUAACUUUGUUUGAUUUCAUGAAAAAUUGAAUUCAUGGGAUUCUUUGAUAUGCUGAAUCAAUCCAUGGCCAUUUAUUUAGAUUUUGGAUAUUGGACCAUAAAAUGUAAAUUUAAUUUUUUUAAGUUUAUUAGACCACAUUCAAUCUGUGUCAUACACCUAUGUUGUGUCAACUAUUUAAUCACAAUCCAAAUUCAGAGCUGUAUCAAGCUUGAAUGUUGUGUCCAUACUUGCCCAAACUGUUCAGGGUUCGACCUCUGUGGUUGUAUCAAGCUGUGCCCUGCGGAGCAACUGGUUAAGAAUUUCUACACAAGUUGAAACCAUAGCAAGUUAUUUCAUUUAGCAAAAAAUUUAAAAUAAGGAAAAUGGCAUAAUAGAAUCAAACAUUGAAAAAAGACUGGGAUUACGUAAUUGUCAAAAGAAAAAGGAAAAAAACACCAAACUGCAGUUCACAAAACACUACAUAGAUAACUGGAUUUAAGAGAAAAGUAGAUUUUGUUGUUAAAAAUAAAAUGGGAGUGGGGGAAAGGAGGGUAACUUAGAUGCUUUAAAAAUUAUCCAAAAUGUACAGUAUUUUGUUAUCUUCCAUUCUAUAUGCAUAUAUUUUUCUUAUCUCUUACCAGUUUUCCCACUCCUUAAUUUUGUUUAUAUUCCCAAAUGUUACUUAAUAUGGUGAAUAUAGCCAAUUUAUUGAUCAAAUUAUACACCAACCUUCUAAAAUGUAUUUAUAAUAGAUGUACAGACUAAUGACUAUGUUUAAUUAAACUAGCACCCAUUAUCUUAAAUGAGGUCAAUCAAUAAUGUAACAACAUGUUUUUCGAUUCAGACUAAGGUUAAUUACUGAUUAAGUGUGAUUAGUUUAUUUAUAUGUAAGAUAUGGAUGUGUCUUUGAAAUCUGAAUAUUUCAUGUGAUGUUAAGAAAGAAUUAUAUUAAUACAUGUAAAUAAUAGGAGAUGUUGGUUAAUGUUCAUAAGACUUCAGCCCAACAAAUCAAAUUUACUUGUAGUUAUGCCUUUGUUGUUCUACCAAAUAAUGUAGAAGUAAACAACUAUAGGUCACAGUAUGACCUUCAUUAAUGAGUAGACCAAUACCUCGUAGCACUCUAUAAAAGGCCCAGAAAUGACAAAUGUAAAAUAAUUUUAACAAGAAAACUAACAUCUUGAUUUAUUUAAGAAUAAAGAAAAAAAAUAUGUUAUACAGUAACAAAAGGCAACAACUGAAUUACAGGCUCCUGACUUUGGGUAAAGCAAACCUCCCAUAAAAUUGGGCAGCUACAUAUAAACAGCACAACAUUAGAACGUACUAUAAAGUUCAGUUGAAAAUGGCUUAACUCAUUAUAUCAAUACAAAGCACAGAACACUUCAGACUCAAAGUACAGGCCUUGCGGUCAUAAAACUUUCGAGCACGAUUUCUGUACUCAGACUCAAGAAUCAACCAAUCAAAAUGCUGGAUUUAAUGUUUCGAGCAUGAUUUUUGUGCUCCGAGCAUUGAGCAAAGUUUUAUGACUUCAACCCCAGAUAUGGCAGUACUUCCAGUUACUGAAAGCUAGAUCAAGCCACCAACAACUCAGAAAAAUAUCAUGUAUCUUUGACUAAAAUAUCAAUUGGUAACCCAACGUCCAAUGAAUAUACUGUAAGAUGCCAUUAUCGGUCAGACUUUAACUGACCCCUAAACUAAAUUGUGUACCAGUUCAGCAGAUUACAAAUUACCACAACAAGGUCACAACUUCUAACUAAGCAGCCAAUGGGUGACCAUUAUGGCUACAGGUCCACAUACUUUCUUUUGGAACAAAGGUUCUAUUUUGACAGAGUUAUAAAUGGAAUGAUAUAUACAAAAAUACUGAACAUAUAUCUAGUAAGAUUUAUAGUACUGGUAGAAUGACUCGUAAUUGAGCCAGCAAACCAAAAAUACUGAACAUAUAUCUAGUAAGAUUUAUAGUACUGGUAAAAUGACUCGUAAUUGAGCCAGCAAACCAAAAAUACAUUUCAACUAAAUUAAGGCAUGUUGAAGUAAAAUAUUAAAUCUGAUAACAGAGCCUAAUGAAAUGUUUGCAUAAAAAUAUGAGAUACUGAUAUAUACAAGAAAUUCUGUUGUAAAGAAAUCAAAUACUAGCUGUUAAUUUUAUAAUAUAAAUACCAACAGCAUGUUACUCAAGUUAAAAAGUAAGAUUCAUGUUAACCCAAUUAUUUUCUGUAUUGCAAUUUAAAAAGUGAACAAAAUACUCUUGAUAAUUUCUUUUAAAGAAAUGAGAAAUAAGUUUUUUUUAUUGUAUCUGAAAUGUAAUCUUAUUUCUCAUGCUAAAGCAAUUAAACAUCAUGAUUUUUAAAUUUUGAUCAGCAUGGUAUAUGCACAAAAUAGGUCAGUGUUUAAAUCAAAACAUAAGAAGAAUAUUUUUAUAAUAUAUGGAGGAUAGUUUCUAUAAAACUUUAUUCCCUUUUCUAGUACCAAAAAGAUCCCAAGAAUACUAUUUUCACUCAAAACUGAACUGAUGGGCAAUUACUUAUGCAUGCAAUAUAUUUUCUAAAUAAACAAUAUGGACAAAUUGACUACUAUCAUAUUACCAAUUUUGGCUUAUUUUAUUAUUUUUCAACAUACACUGUGGUAGGACAUCCUGGUACAUGAUCAAGUAAGAGCAAGUCAAAGAAGGAAAAUCUAGCUUUCAAUCAGUGCAAUUUUGGGGUAAAUUAACUGUUUUAUGUUUUUUUUAUACACAGCAAAAUCAAUGGAAAACAAAAAAAAUUCUACAAAUUUUGCUGAUUGUAAACUUCAUUUUACUUUUUUGGUUGCUCUUACUGGACUUGUCUACCAGAAUGUCUUACCACAGAGUAGGACUCCAUGUUGAAAAAAUUAUACUCUUUUUAGUGCUGACAUAAUCCUGAUUUUGUUAGUAUGCACCUUAACUUGUCAUGUUUGUACUGUAUUGCAAUAUAAAGCAGAAUCUAGUUACAGAGACCUGCAAUAUAUAUCAAUGACGGAUCCUACAGUGUUAUAUUGGCAUUUUCAUUUUCAUUUUCAUUUUAAAAAUAUAAUACCUAGCCAGAUGAAAGACUUGAAAAACUGAAAUAUCCAAAAUUAAGAUAAGUCUCCUUUUGAUGAGACCUCUUUUUUAUACAACCGCAAAAAUUGAAAAUUUUUUGGUCGUAUUUUGGUAUCACGUUGGCGUCGUCGUCAUCCAAAGACAUUUGGUUUUCUAUUUGGCACUCUAACUUUAGUAAAAGGAAAUAGAAAUCUAUGAAAUUUUAACACAAGGUUAAUGACCACAAAAGGAAGGGUUGGGAUUGAUUUUGGGAGUUUUAGUCCAAACAGUUUAAGAAUUAGGGGCCAAAAACAGGUCCCAAAUAAGCAUUUUUCUUGGUAUUUGCACAAUAUUAAACUAUAGUACAAUGUAUAAGUUAAUAGAAAUCUAUGAAAUUUUAACACAAGGUUUAUGACCACAAAAGAAAGGUUUGGAUUGAUUUUGGGAGUUUUGGUCCAAACGAAUUAGGGGCCAAAAGGGUCCAAAAUUAAACUUUGUUUGAUUUCAUCAAAAAAUGAAUUAUUGGGGUUCUUUGAUAUGCCAAAUCUAACUGUGUAUUCAGAUUCUUAGUUUUUGGUCCUGUUUUCAAAUUGGUCUACAUUAAGGUCCAAAGGGUCCAAAAUUUUAACAAAAAUUGAAUUCUUGUGGUUCUUUGAUAUGCUGAAUCUAAACAUGUACUUAGAUUUUUGAUUAUGGGCCCAGUUUUCAAGUUGGUCCAAAUCGGGGUCCAAAAUUAUUAUAUUAAGUAUUGUGCAAUAGUAAGAAAUAUUCAAUUGCACAGUAUUCCCCAAUAGCAAAAAAUCUUCAAUUGGACAGUACAUUUUGUAUUGUGCAAUAGCAAGAAAUUUUCAAUUGCACAGUAUUGUGCAAUAGCAAGAAAUCUUCAAUUGCACAGUAUUGUGCAAUAGCAAGAAAUAUCUAAUGGCCCAAUAUUGCACAAUAGAAAGAAAUUUUCAAUUGCACAGUUUUGCGCAAUAGCAAGAAAUAUUCAAUUGCACAGUAUUGUCCCGUUUUCAAAUUGGUCUACAAUUAAGGUCCAAAGGGUCAAAAAUUAAACUUUGUUUGAUUUCAACAAAAAUUGAAUAUAUGAGGUUUUCCAAUAUGCUGAAUCUAACUAUGUAUUAAGAUUUUUAAUAUUUGGGCCUGGUUAUCAAAUUAGUCCACAUUGAAGUCUAAAGGGUCUAAAAUUGAACAUUAUUUGAUUUCAUUGAAAAUUGAAUUCUUGGGGUUCUAUGAUAUGCUGAAUCUAACCAUGUAUUUAGAUUUUGGAUAUUGGACCAUAAUAAGUAAAUGUCCAAUUUAAAAUUUUUAAGUUUUUAAGUUUAAGUUCUUAGACCAUUAUCAUUCUGUGUCAGAAACAUAUAUUGUGUCAACUAUUUAAUCACAAUCCAAAUUCAGAGCUGUAUCAAGCUUAAAUGUUGUGUCCAUACUUGCCCCAACUGUUCAGGGUUUGACCUCUGCGGUUGUAUAAAGCUGUGCCCUUUCGGAGCAUCUGGUCUAACCAUCAAUUGGUUUAAAAACUUAAAGAACUCUCUGGAAAAUAUGUGUGUAUGUUUUAGUUUCUUGUGUACAAUUUGGAGUUUAGUAUGGUGUUCAUUAUCACUGAACCAGUAUAUAUUUGUUUAGGGGCCAGCUGAAGGACGCCUCCGGGUGCGAGAAUUUUUCGUUGCAUUGAAGACCUGUUGGUGACCUUCUGCUGUUGUCUGCUCUAUGGUCGGGUUGUUGUCUCUUUGGCACAUUCCCCAUUUCCAUUCUCAAUUUUAUGUUGUCUAGCCUAGGAGGUUAAAAUUGACUGUUCAAUAGCAGUCUCUAGCAAACAUUCAAAAGUGAACCAUAAGCAUGGUGAGGAAUUAAGAUAUUACUAAUCUAAGUGAUUCACUCUACAAUAGUGCAACAGUCAUUGCUUUAGAGUGUUUCUCUGACUUUACAUAUCUAUAAUUCUAAUGCAAUUAUUUUGUAUCAAUGGUUCUGAUUGGAUGACAGUUAGCGUAAAAUUCUCUAUCUCCUUGUCUGUAACUAAGGAAGCCGACAUUUUGAAUUGCUGAAUGUAUUGACAUGUAAUUAAUACAAUAAUAAGCCAAAAAAACUCACAUGUUGCACCUAAAAAUCUUCUUUUUAUCAAAUUUUAUUACAUUCUGAAGCAGCACAGAAGUCAGAAAACGGCCGGUGUUAAUGUUUGAGGCCGGAGGAAUACCUAUGACGUCACCUAGUGUAGGGACCAAAGAAGAUAACAUCUUUUCGCGGAAUUUUCUUUAAUGAAGAUUUUACACUGAAAUAAUGAUUGAAAUUUAAUUAUGAACUUGUUUUGCAUUAGAAUAGAGAUAACUGUAUUGUAUUUGAAGCUUUGCUGACGUCCAUCAGUAGUUUUACUGUCGCAAAUACCCGUUUACCUGUCUCCGCUUCGCGUCGCCAGGUAAACUUAAUUUGCGACAGUAAAACUACCGAUGGACGUCCUUAAAGCUUCAAAUACAAUACAGUUAUCUCUUAAUUUAACUGUUUCAGUUGUGUAAAAAUUGUAACUCUGUUUUCAGAUAACUACCGACAGCUGCCACUGUGACAGACAGGAAAAGUUGAACUGUUUGAUGAAAGUAUGCAGUAAAUAAUCGACAGAUAUUUGUAAGUUACCUUACACUUAUGUCCAAAUAUAUGGUGCUUCUUGUAUAAAUGUUUAAUUUAAGAAUGCUUGCUCCUCUGUUUAAAAAUAACAAGUGUUCAAACUUUUAAAACACUGUUACAAACUGAUAUUAUAUAAGAUAUUAUCCUUUAAAAGAAUGAUAGGUCCUUCUCCUUGUUUUAGAGAUAUCAUCAAUGAAAAUAAGGGGGGGAAAUUAUUUUCUCUAGAAAUCAUAUAUUUAACAUUAGCACCUUUUUUUCUUUGGAAAACUAUGAAAAAGUAACCAGGAUCACAGAUACUGUAAGUUGUUGGAAGACAACAUUUACAUUAGAAUUAUAACAAAAAUAAAUGGUAUUUUGGAGUAUUAUUGUGUUAUUUGGUCUUACAAACAUCUACUUCACAUUAUCUUUUUGUUAUGAUAACAAUAUGAAGACAAAGACUAAUAUAAAGGAUACUAGAUAAAAGACCUGACAGAAGUAAUAAUGAAAAUGUAAACUGUCAUCUAAUAUUUUUUUGUUGCCAAUGAGGUACUUUUGAUUAACAAUGAGAUGAUUGAUUGCCAAUGAGAUACGUUUGAUUCCCAAUGAGAUUCUUUUGGUUGCAAAUGAUAUACUAGUGAUUGCCAAUGAGAUAUGAUUGAUUAACAAUGAGAUACUUUUGGUUGCCAAGGAUAUACUAUUGAUUGCCAAUGAGAUACUAUUGAUUGCCAAUGAGAAACUAUUGAUUGCCAAUGAUAUACUAUUGAUUGUUAAUGAGAUACAAUUAAUUGCCAAUGAGAUACUUUGAUUGCCAAUGAGAGAUGAUUGAUUGCCAAGAAUAUACUGUAAACCAAUUUAUUUUCACGGAUACUUUAUUUCGCGUUCUACCCUUUCUUGGCCACUUUGCCGCUAUUUUAUGUCAUGAUUUUACUUGAAGGAAAGAUCUAAGUUUUACAUGUUCGCGACGAUUUAUAUGCGCGUUAUUUUUCUACUCGUGAAAGCCGCGAAAAUAAAUCAUUGCGAAAAUAAGUUGGUUUACAGUACUAGUGAUUGCCAAUGAGAUAUGAUUGAUUGACAAUGAGAUACUUUUGGUUGCCAGGGUAUAUACUAUUGAUUGCCAAUGAGCUACUAUUGAUUGUUAAUGAGAUAUGAUUUAUUGCCAAUGAAAUACUUUGAUCGCCAAUGAGAUACUUUGAUCGCCAACGAGAUACUUUGAUCACUAAUGAGAUACUUUGAUUGUCAAUGAGAUACUUUGAUAGCCAAUGAGAUACUUUAAUUGCAAUGCAAUAUUUUACAAGAAAAAAGAUGUGGUCAAUAACAGGUCACUGUACAGUUGUGAACAACAAGCUAAACCUUUACCUGGAUUUGUUUUUUUCUAAAUGGAUUUAUGACUUUUGAAUACUACUGUUGCCUUUAUUUUAUUUAUAUGUAGUAAGUUAUAAAAGGCCUUUGGAGGGGGUGGGAAUACAACUGCGAAAUAAAAUUGAGAAUGGAAAUGGGGGGAAUGUGUCAAAGAGACAACAACCCGACCAAAGAGCAAACAACAGUCGAAGGCCAUUAAUACAGCAAGUAACUCCCACACCCGGAGGCGUACUUCAGCUGUCCCUAAACAAAAAUGUAUACUAGUUCAGUGAUAUUGGACGUCAUACUAAACACAAGAAACUAAAAUCAAACCUGACUCUGGACAUGCUAAAACCAAUUUUAAAUCUUCCUCAGUUUAUUCAACAUUUGCCAGAUAUUGAAUAAGCUCUCAUUGACGAGUGGUCAAUCCAGAAAUUUUCAUAAGGAGGGGCCAUUGACUGCCUAAGAGGGGGCCUGCUCCAGUCAUGCUUCAGUAGUUCCCUAUAAAAUCAACCAAAUUUUUCCCACAAAAAGGGAGGGAGCCUCUAAAUCUGCCUCUGGUGACACAGAUAAAAUGACACUUUCCUGAAUGACCAGCACACAAAUUUGGUUGAUAUUAAGUACAUGCCAUAAAAGUGAAUAUAAAAUUGGCCACUUGCAAAAUAAUUGAUAGAGCACCUUGGCUUUAUGAUUUUUUGUUAUAAAUAUUCCGAUCCUAUUGCAGCAUAAUGACAUACAUUUGAGUUGGGGACAGAGAGAAAAAAAUAACUUGCAAUUAGGCUAGAAAAAAA